rnacentral:rRNA from 1 species
AGAGUUUGAUCCUGGCUCAGGACGAACGCUGGCGGCGUGCUUAACACAUGCAAGUCGAACGAUGAAGCCUUUCGGGGUGGAUUAGUGGCGAACGGGUGAGUAACACGUGGGCAAUCUGCCCUGCACUCUGGGACAAGCCCUGGAAACGGGGUCUAAUACCGGAUAUGACCUGCCAUCGCAUGGUGGUGGGUGUAAAGCUCCGGCGGUGCAGGAUGAGCCCGCGGCCUAUCAGCUUGUUGGUGGGGUGAUGGCCUACCAAGGCGACGACGGGUAGCCGGCCUGAGAGGGCGACCGGCCACACUGGGACUGAGACACGGCCCAGACUCCUACGGGAGGCAGCAGUGGGGAAUAUUGCACAAUGGGCGAAAGCCUGAUGCAGCGACGCCGCGUGAGGGAUGACGGCCUUCGGGUUG